AUGUGCGCAGGCAUGAUAGAUCUGAAGAAGGAAAUGACAAGGAUCACGAAGCUGGGGGAAGAACUCAAGGCUACUCGCGAAGAUUAUGAGGAGGAAAUCGUCGUACUAGUGGAGAAGAAUGAUGACCUGACAAGAAAGCUGGGAGUAUUCAUGGGAGACCCCGUGCGAGGAGGAGAAGAUGACGAUUCCACCUACCCGGAGAACUACAUCAUCAUCGAUGACACCGACUCGGACCCCGAUGAUAGCGAUGAUGACUUUGUUGAUGAAGCUGGAGCAGAUGUUAUGGAGUCUUCUACCGAUCAAUUUUUCUAG
rnacentral:rRNA from 1 species